rnacentral:rRNA from 1 species
UGGGGAAUAUUGCACAAUGGGGGAAACCCUGAUGCAGCGACGCCGCGUGAACGAAGAAGGUAUUCGUAUCGUAAAGUUCUGUCCUAUGGGAAGAUAAUGACAGUACCAUAGAAGAAAGCUCCGGCUAAAACGUUGCAGCAACCGCGGUAAUACGUAUGGAGCGAGCGUUGUCCGGAAUUAUUGGGCGUAAAGGGUACGGAGGCGGUUUAAUAAGUCGAAUGUUAAAGAUCGGGGCUCAACCCCGCAAAGCAUUGGAAACUGAUAAACUUGAGUAGUGGAGAGGAAAGUGGAAUUCCUAGUGUAGUGGUGAAAUACGUAGAUAUUAGGAGGAAUACCAGUAGCGAAGGCGACUUUCUGGACACAAACUGACGCUGAGGUACGAAAGCGUGGGGAGCAAACAGG